AGCUUGUUGGUGAGGUAAUGGCUCACCAAGGCGACGAUCAGUAUCUGGUUUGAGAGGACGAUCAGACACACUGGAACUGAGACACGGUCCAGACUCCUACGGGAGGCAGCAGUAGGGAAUUUUCCGCAAUGGGCGAAAGCCUGACGGAGCAAUCUCGCGUGAGGGAUGACGGCCUAUGGGUUGUAAACCUCUUUUUUCAGGGAGGAAUAACUGACGUGUACCUGAAGAAUAAGCAUCGGCUAACUCCGUGCCAGCAGCCGCGGUAAGACGGAGGAUGCAAGUGUUAUCCGGAAUCACUGGGCGUAAAGCGUCUGUAGGUGGUUUAAUAAGUCAACUGUUAAAUCUUAAAGCUUAACUUUGAAAUCGCAGUCGAAACUAUUAGACUAGAGUAUAGUAGGGGUAAAGGGAAUUUCCAGUGGAGCGGCGAAAUGCGUAGAGAUUGGAAAGAACACCGAUGGCGAAGGCACUUUACUGGGCUAUUACUAACACUCAGAGACGAAAGCUAGGGUAGCAAAUGGGAUUAGAUACCCCAGUAGUCCUAGCCGUAAACAAUGGAUACUAGAUGUUGAACAGAUCGACCUGUGCAGUAUCAAAGCUAACGCGUUAAGUAUCCCGCCUGGGAAGUAUGCUCGCAAGAGUGAAACUCAAAGGAAUUGAAGGGGGGUUCCACGUGAACAGCAAUUGGACGUGGGUUAGUCGAUCCUAAGAGAUAGGAGAAAUCCGUUGCAAGGUGGGCGUUUCGGCGCCCCUUCUAUCGAAAGGGAAUCGGGUUAAUAUUCCCGAACCAGGACGUGGAUGUUGAGUGGUAACACAAGCAAAGCCGGGGACGACGGCGGUAGCCCCGACGAGAGUUUUCUUUUCUUGUUAACAGAUUUCACCAACCCUGGAAUCGGAUUGACCGGAGAUAGGGUUGUCGGUCUGGGAAAGGCGGUCAAUUUUGGACCGCUUCGGUGCGCUAUCGACGUUCCUUGAAAACCUGGCGGCGUGUCUUAUUCGCACUCCU
rnacentral:rRNA from 1 species